GAUGAACGCUGGCGGCGUGCCUAAUACAUGCAAGUCGAGCGAACAGACGAGGAGCUUGCUCCUCUGACGUUAGCGGCGGACGGGUGAGUAACACGUGGAUAACCUACCUAUAAGACUGGGAUAACUUCGGGAAACCGGAGCUAAUACCGGAUAAUAUAUUGAACCGCAUGGUUCAAUAGUGAAAGACGGUUUUGCUGUCACUUAUAGAUGGAUCCGCGCUGCAUUAGCUAGUUGGUAAGGUAACGGCUUACCAAGGCAACGAUGCGUAGCCGACCUGAGAGGGUGAUCGGCCACACGGGAACUGAGACACGGUCCAGACUCCUACGGGAGGCAGCAGUAGGGAAUCUUCCGCAAUGGGCGAAAGCCUGACGGAGCAACGCCGCGUGAGUGAUGAAGGUCUUCGGAUCGUAAAACUCUGUUAUUAGGGAAGAACAAAUGUGUAAGUAACUAUGCACGUCUUGACGGUACCUAAUCAGAAAGCCACGGCUAACUACGUG
rnacentral:rRNA from 1 species